rnacentral:lncRNA from 1 species
UGCACCACUUCUCACCUCAAUCCAUCCACCAUAGCCCGAGAAUUUGGAAUUCUCCCCAAAUCGGUCACUAUCAUCACCUUAAUGGGUCUCGCCAUGGACAGAGCUCUCUGAGGUAAUCGUGGUAGAACUAGUGGUUGUUUUGUGUUCCCUUACGUGUUGUGAUGCUCAUCAGCCCGCCCGGUUGAACUCUACCAUAGCAGGAUCCCUAGAACGCCAUGUCGCCACACUAGAACGCUGUUGCGGACACACUCCUCAUCGACCCACUGCUCUGUCCUUUCGCCCGUCUUCCUGGUCGUCAUCCUUGAGUCCUGGUGAGUUACUGAAGCCCAUCGUACUUUUGGUUCAAAAACUAUCGCGUUGUGUCACUAGGAACAAGCUCAAAGGUUUCGGUUCCGCGGGUGCUCAUGGACCGAGCUCUAGGAUAGAGUUCAUGCCCGAUUUUUAAUCCUUAGAGUAGUGCCAAGAGUUGAAUUAGGUGUGAGAGCAACUUUGAGCUCGAAUUAUGGGAUAUGGUGGCCUGCGCAAGUUUGUCGAAGCGAUUGCACCGGCGUCCGUGGUCAGGGACUCGGUCGUGUGAAGGAGAAAGAAAGGGAGGGUUUCUUUGUAAACGUCAGUGACUCAGAAAACAGUGCUUUGGAUUGGUCUUCGGUUAUUCAAAUACCCAGGGGCUCCGUGCAAAAGGUCUCGCGCGGGCGCAGACACGAGCGCAUUCCGCUAUCCGUGGGCCAGGCCAGAUCGAUUUCAGCCCAACCCUGUUCAUCAUAUUUCCUUUUCUUUUUGAUAUUAGUUUAGGAAAUUCAUUAGAAAUGGUAGAAAUUUGGUAAAAUCAUGAGACCAAUUUUGUUAGAUUCCUAAAAUCAAGUAGUAUUUAAUAAAAAUAAUUCCAAGAUUUUUAUUUCAAACCUGGAAUUAUGUAGCAUUUAAAGGUGCUUAAAUAAAGUCUUUUAAAAUUUUAGAAAUAAUUUAGUAAUUCCAAAAAUCGUACAACUUUUUGGGUAGGCUUAAUAUGAUGGUUAGAGAGCUUGAGUGAAGUUUGAAAUAGUUUGGACAUUGUUUGACCAGCAAACCCAAUAACUAGCUUCAUAGGAUUUAUUAUUUAAUACUAAUCCUAAAGGAACACCUAACUAGGAGAUCUUAGUGAUUGAUUCAUACUAUGAAGGAAAGUUGUAUUCAAGACGCAACUUACUAUAUUUCUAUUAUAUGAUUGCAUAUUCAUGACAUAGCAUGAGCAUUCAUGUACAUGUAUUCUCAUGUAUAGAACACGUGGAAGAAUCUGUAGUAGAGGAAGAAGUUGUCUCCCAGACCGAGAAUCCUCCAGUGGAGAACAACUUUUAUUUCGACACCUGCGGUGUGGAUACAGAAACUCCUACAAUACAAGGCAAGCCCCGGUGCAUUUUACCCUUUCCUUGCAGUUUGAAAAUCUUUAUCACCUUAUAUGAUGCAUUAGGUGAUAGGUGUUGUGUGCUAAACAAUUUAUGCAUUUCCUUCCUUGGAAAAUUGAUUACCGUUCCUUGAUACCACUUUUAUGAAGAGGAUUUUUAUGAUGCUUAACCUAUCUUUAGAAAACAAAAAAAAGUUUUGUUUUAAAACAAAAAGUGAUGCUUCACACAUGAUGGGAAUUUUUACAAAGAAAAGGAUUAUGAUGGUGAAUCCAUCAUGGCCGUGAUGGGUUCCACAUCUAAAAGAGUAUCUCUGUCAGGUAACAGACUUUGGGUUUUAAAUGAUAAAGACUAGACCUGGCAGGUGACUUGCACGAGAAGAGAGUCUCAGUGUAGUGUCUCUGUCUGAGUCAUUUAUAGACCAAGCCAAUGUAGGCCUGCUGAUCGAGGACCUUUUAACUGGCCACAUGCCUCGUCAUGGGUAAGCUUUGCCUCAGUCGGAACAAUACCAGAAAGGCUACCACAUAAUGGGAGUGGAGAGAUGGUGAGAAUAUCGUGUACCCUCCGUGGCAAGAGGCUGGACGGUGGAGUAUCUGUGCUCUCGGUUGGCGUGAACCCAUUCUGGUCUUGAGAAACCCGGGUGUGAGUUGACAUAUGCAAGGGUUAAGUGCUACAUAUGUCAUGUGGUUGGAGAUUCACAGCUGGGUAUUAAUCGAUUCAGAUCGCCGUUACUUCUCGGACAUGAAGACUUGGUCACUAACCUACACGUAGUGACAAGUGAACUCAAGGGAUGAUAAAAAGACGGCUAGUAUAGGCCAAGUGCUUGAUCUAGAAUAGAAAGGAAUCUAGAUGCAGGUAACUACUUAACCUGACAAGUAAAAUGAAUUCUUAAGGAUCCACUAAUAGUAAGCUUUUCUGCAAAAAGAGUCUUUGAAUCUUAUUAAGCUUUACCUUGAUUCCCAAAGGCCAGUAUAUCCUUGAGAGUCUUUUUCUUUAGUUGGAUAAGACUUACGAAAGUACACUCCGUACUCAGGGUUUUCAAACCCAUGUUGUUGUAGGUGAUGAAACUGCUGAGUUUUGAUGUUUCUGCUCCAAGGUUGUCCCAAAACAGGAGGAAGAAAACUAAGAACUACCCGUGGAAGGUGUUUUGCCUUCCUGUGAUGUAAUAAGUUUAAGCACUCAGAACCUGGUUAUGUAGUAAUCAACUCUUUCUAUAAUAUAUUUAUGAAUGUAAAUUAUGUUAUUGUAAUACUUUCUGCUUUACUCCGAUGGUUUUUAAUGUCUGCGUUAUGGGAUAAGCGCUCUUGGGCGAUGAGAUGGAGAUACAAAUAACCGGACCUGCCGAGCCACUGAGCGCACCUGCACGACUGUCUGAG